UACGUAGGGUGCGAGCGUUAUUCGGAAUUACUGGGCGUAAAGGGUGCGCAGGCGGCGUCGCAAGUCAGGCGUGAAAUCCCCGGGCUUAACCUGGGAACUGCACUUGAAACUACGAUGCUGGAGUAUGGCAGAGGGAGGUGGAAUUCCACGUGUAGCGGUGAAAUGCGUAGAGAUGUGGAGGAACACCGAUGGCGAAGGCAGCCUCCUGGGCCAAUACUGACGCUCAUGCACGAAAGCGUGGGGAGCAAACAGG
rnacentral:rRNA from 1 species